rnacentral:lncRNA from 1 species
AUAGAUUCAUCAAAAUAAGCAAACAACACACGAAAAACAGAAUCUGUCAAAAACAGAACAGUCUGUAGUAAUCUGUAACUAACGCAAACUUCUGGAACCCCAAAAAAUCAGCCAAAUAGGAAGACCUAGAAAAUUUGUUUAUCGAUCAGCAGCAAUUGGAAUCAAUGUUUUAUCAGGUUCUGGUGAUUUUUCACAAUUAUUUUCGUGAACAGAAAGUUUCUGGAAUUUUCUGCAAGAUCAAAUAACUAUCAUCCAAGAAGAUCCUAUAGGUUAAACUUGGCACAAACACUAAUUAAAACAUAAAAACACAUCUAACAAGAGGCUAGAACAAAUAUUUAUUCCUAAACAGAAGCAAAAAGCAAAAAAAACUAAAAAGAAAAUUGGGUUGCCUCCCAACAAUCGCUAUCGUUUAACGCCCCUAGCUAGGCAUAAAAGCAAGGAUAGAUCUAGGUAUUACCAUCUUUGGUGGGCAACUCUUUAAUAAGACAUCUAGCACCCUUAGUUUCUUUCUUUUUAUUAAUUAUCAAACUUUUAGGCACAAGAUCGAAAAAUUUAUUUGUAGCAAACGGUUCCUUAAUAAUAGCAAAAAGAUUGGGAUGAAUACUUAUAGAUUUGAGAUCCGCAGUUUCCUUACUAGAGGAUUCACCCUUGUUUUUAGGAACAUACAUAAGCUUGGCAAUUUUAGUUGGAGGACUUGGAGUAUUAUUUAUGGAAGAAAAGUGGUUCCCAAGUUGGUAAUGAUACCCUCAAGUUUAUCGAUUCUAGUGGAAUCUUGAUUUAUUCUUUCAUUAACUAUGGGUUCCUUCUCCUUAAUAUUUUUCGAAGUGACUCCUACUUUAGAUCCAUAUUGGGUAAUUUGGUUGUGGAUCUUUUUAUCCAGAUUUUCAAUUAACUCUAUGGUAGUAACUUUAUUUUCAAUAAUUUCAAGUCUUCGCAUUACAUGCUCCAAAGUUAACAUAGUUCCAUUAACCAAAAGAGGUGGUGAGCCAAACAAAUCUAUCAUAGCAUUAUAAGAAUCAAAAGUAUGGCUACCCAAGAAAUUUCCUCCGGUAAUGGUAUCAAGUAUAUAUCUGUACCAAGGAGUAGCGCCUACAUAAAAAUUGCGAAGAAGAACGGAAGUAGAUUGCUUCCUGGUAGAUCUAUUUUGAGCAUUGCAAAUUCUAUACCAAGCGUGUUUUAGAUUUUCUCCCUCCCUUUGCUUAAAAUUUAGAACUUCAUUCUCGGGGGACAACAAAGAAGAUAGAGGACUAGCCAUAACGACUAGCAAACGGAAAAGAGGCAAACGGAAAGAGCGAAUAAAACAGCAAGUGUGAAGUGGGGGAGAGGAAAACGAGAGGCAAAUGGCAAAUAAUGUUAUGCGGGAGAUAAGGGUUUGUGAUGGGUACUUGGUAUGUUGACUUUUGCGUAGACUCCCCGGCAAUGGCACCAGAAAUCCUUCUUGCUACCUCUUGAGCACUGCGCUGGUUUUCCCUUGAAGAGGAAAGGGUGAUGCAGCAAAGUAGCGUAAGUAUUUCCCUCAGUUUUUGAGAACCAAGGUAUCAAUCCAGUAGGAGGCCACGCACGAGUCCCUCGCACCUACACAAACAAAUAAAUCCUCGCAACCAACGCGAUAAGGGGUUGUCGAUCCCUACACGGUCACUUACGAGAGUGAGAUCUGAUAGAUAUGAUAAGAUACUAUUUUUGGUAUUUUUAUGAUAAAGAUGCAAAGUAAAGAAAGUAAAAUAAAACGGCGCCAGGAAUAGCUAAGUGUUGGAAGAUUAAUAUGAUGGAAAAUAGACCCGGGGGCCAUAGGUUUCACUAGUGGCUUCUCUCAAGAGCAUAAGUAUUUAUGGUAGGUGAACAAAUUACUGUUCAGUAAUUGACAGAAUUGAGCAUAGUUAUGAGAAUAUCUAGGUAUGAUCAUGUAUAUAGGCAUCACGUCCAAGACAAGUAGACCGACUCCUGCCUGCAUCUACUACUAUUACUCCACACAUCGACCGCUAUCCAGCAUGCAUCUAGAGUAUUAAGUUCAUAAGAACAGAGUAACGCUUUAAGCAAGAUGACAUGAUGUAGAGGGAUAAACUCAUGCAAUAUGAUAUAAACCCCAUCUUGUUAUCCUCGAUGGCAACAAUACAAUACGUGCCUUGCUUCCCCUACUGUCACUGGGAAAGGACACCGCAAGAUUGAACCCAAAGCUAAGCACUUCUCCCAUUGCAAGAAAGAUCAAUCUAGUAGGCCAAACCAAACUGAUAAUUCGAAGAGACUUGGAAAGAUAACCAAUCAUACAUAAAAGAAUUCAGAGAAGAUUCAAAUAUUGUUCAUAGAUAAACUUGAUCAUAAACCCACAAUUCAUCGGUCUCAACAAACACACCGCAAAAGAAGAUUACAUCGAAUAGAUCUCCACGAGAGAGGGGGAGAACAUUGUAUUGAGAUCCAAAAAGAGAGGAGAAGCCAUCUAGCUAAUAACUAUGGACCCGAAGGUCUGAGGUAAACUACUCACACAUCAUCGGAGAGGCUAUGGUGUUGAUGUAGAAGCCAUCCGUGAUCGAUGCCCCCUCCGGUGGAGCUUUGGAGCAGGACCCAAGAUGGGAUGUCACGGGUACAGAAGGUUGCGGCGGUGGAAUUAGUUUUUUGGCUCCGUAUCUGGUAGUUUGGGGGUACGUAGGUAUAUAUAGGAGGAAGGAGUACGUCGGNNNNNNNNNNNNNNNNNNNNNNNNNNNNNNNNNNNNNNNNNNNNNNNNNNNNNNNNNNNNNNNNNNNNNNNNNNNNNNNNNNNNNNNNNNNNNNNNNNNNNNNNNNNNNNNNNNNNNNNNNNNNNNNNNNNNNNNNNNNNNNNNNNNNNNNNNNNNNNNNNNNNNNNNNNNNNNNNNNNNNNNNNNNNNNNNNNNNNNNNNNNNNNNNNNNNNNNNNNNNNNNNNNNNNNNNNNNNNNNNNNNNNNNNNNNUGGUUGAUGUCUUGACGUAGGGUCCAAGUCCUCUGGAUCACGUUCCCGAAGGUUUUAUUCCGUUUGGACUCCGUUUGAUAUUCUUUUUCUGCAAAACUCUGAAAUAGGCAAAAAAAACAGCAAUUUUGGGCUGGGCCUCCGGUUAAUAGGUUAGUCCCGAAAAUAAUAUAAAAGUAUAUAAUAAAGCCCAAUAAUGUCCAAAACAGAAUACAAUAUAGCAUGUAACAAUAAAAAAUUAUAGAUACGUUGGAGACGUAUCAGGGACAUUCCUAAAACUUCCUUUGUUACUCGUUAUGGCCAAUACGAGUACACCGUCAUGUCCUUCAGUUUAACCAAUGCUCCAGCCACCUUCUCUUGGUUAACGAACUCGAUCUUCAUGGAGUAUUUGGAUAAAUUCAUCGCGGUAUACCUCGAUGAUAUACUCAUCUACUCCAAGAAUGAGGAAGAACAUGCCGAGCAUCUAAGGCUAGUAUUGAUGAAACUUCAAGAGCAUCGCCUUUAUGCCAAAUUCUCCAAGUGUGAAUUCUGGUUGCCAGAAGUGACCUAUGUAGGCCAUUUAAUCUCUGGUAAGGGUAUUGCUGUCAAUCCCGAGCGAGUUCAAGCCGUCCUUGAUUGGACUCCACUUGAAACGGUCAAGCAAGUUCGGAGUUUCCUUGGCUUAGCGAGCUACUGCCGCCGCUUCGUCGAGAAUUUCUCCAAGGUUGCUAAACCUCUAACUGAACUCCUCAAGAAAGAUAAAAAGUUUGAGUGGACCCCACGGUGUGAGUUCAGCUUUCAGGAACUGAAAAGACGCCCGACAUCUGCUCCCAUACUCGUACCACCAGAUUUUUCUAAGGACUUUGUUAUCUAUUGCGACGCCUCGCGACAAGGACUAGGUUGCAUACUCAUGCAAGAUCGUCAUGUGAUUGCCUACGCUUCUCGACAGUUGUGUCCACAUGAGGAUAACUAUCCCACACAUGAUCUAGAGCUUGCAGCUGUGGUCCAUGCACUCAAAACAUGGCGACAUUACCUUCUCGGUAAUCGUUGCGAGAUUUACACCGAUCACCAAAGUCUGAAAUACAUCUUCACCCAACCGGAUUUGAAUCUCAGGCAAAGACGUUGGGUCGAGUUGAUUACAGAUUACGACUUAGGAAUAACUUACAUCCCAGGCAAAGCCAAUGUCAUGGCUGAUGCGCUAAGUCGUAAAUCUUAUUGUAACAACCUGAUGUUACAACAAAGUCAACCACUUCUCCACGAGGAAUUUCGUAAGCUCAACCUUCACAUAGUUCCUCGAGGAUUCCUAUCCACCCUGGUGGCAAAGCCUACCCUUACGGAUCAAAUCAUAGCUGCCCAGAAGCGUGAUAAGGGCAUAUCCUGGAUUAAGGAAAACAUCGCUAGCAGAGUUGCUAAAUGUUUUUCCAUGGAUGAGCGAGGUGUUGUCUUCUUAGAGAACCGCUUGGUGGUUCCCAAGAAACAACAUCUACAUCAGUUGAUCCUUAAGGAAGCUCAUGAAUCCCCUCUCACCAUUCAUCCCGGUAGUACUAAAAUGUAUCAAGCCCUACGCCAGAGGUUUUGGUGGACUAGGAUGAAGAGAGAAAUCGCUCAAUUCAUUGCUAAUUGCGACGUCUGUCGUCGUGUUAAAGCAGAGCAUCAACGGCCUGCUGGCACCCUUCAACCUUUGGCUAUUCCUGAAUGGAAAUGGGAUAAAAUCAGUAUGGAUUUCAUUACCGGGUUUCCCAGGACCAAGAGAGGGAAUAAUGCAAUCUUCUUUGUUGUCGAUCGUCUUUCCAAAGUAUCCCAUUUCCUACCUGUUCGUGAGAGUAUAACCGCUAGCCAGCUAGCUGACUUGUACAUCUCCCGAAUAGUGUCUCUUCAUGGUGUUCCAUUGGAGAUUAACUCAGACCGUGGAAGUCUUUUCACCUCUCGAUUUUGGGAAAGUUUCCAAAAUGCUAUGGGAACUCGUCUCUCCUUUAGCACCGCCUUACACCCUCAAACAAGUGGUCAAGUAGAACGAGUCAAUCAAAUUCUGGAAGAUAUGCUCCGAGCUUCUGUCAUCUCUUUUGGUAUGGGUUGGGAGAAAUGUCUUCCAUUCGCCGAAUUCGCUUAUAACAAUAGUUAUCUAGCUAGCUUGGGCAAAGCCCCUUUUGAAGUUCUCUAUGGACGAAAAUGUCGAACGCCUCUUAACUGGUCAGAAACCGGGGAAAGACAACUCUUUGGUCCGGACAUGAUUCAGGAAGCAGAAGAGCAGGUUCGCAUUAUUCGUGAGAAGUUGAAAACAGCCCAAUCUCGUCAAAAGAGCCAAUAUGACCGUAAACAUAAGCUCAUGACUUAUGAAGUUGGCGAGAAGGCUUACCUUCGGGUUACUCCUCUAAAGGGAACCCAUCGUUUCGGUAUCAAAGGCAAAUUGGCUCCUCGUUACAUUGGACCCGUUCGCAUUCUUGCCAAACGAGGAGGAGUUGUGGAACUACCUCCGCAUCUUUCCAGAGUUCAUGAUGUCUUCCACGUUUCUCAACUCAGGCGUUGCUUCUCGGAUCCUAUCCGUGGAGUGGACCAUGAAACGCUUGAUCUCCAAGAUAAUAUCACACAUCGGGAAUAUCCCGUUCGCAUCCUUGAUCAAGCCGAGCGUACCACUCGACGCCAAAAUAUCAAGUUUCUCAAGGUUCAAUGGUCACACCAUUCCGAGAAAGAAGCUACUUGGGAAAGGGAGGAUCGUCUUCGACUUGAGUACCCCACCUUCUUCCCAACGGAUCCUAAAUCUCGGGACGAGAUUCUUUUGAGUGGGGGUGAGUUGUCACACCCUAGCUAGUUCAUGCAUAAGAGUGUUGCAUCAUGUUUACUUUUCCAGAAAUUUGAAAUGGGGAUGACAGAACCCCCAGCACCCCCUGAAAACAACUAGGGUUUACUAAAAUAUUUUCAAUGAACCUGAAAUGCCCUUCUAAAAUGUCCAUCAUUUUUGUCUUGGUCCAGAACCUCUGCCAAAAUUGGUUCACAUUUUUCUAGGACACAUAAGGUCAUUGGAUUAAAUCAUUACCUAUUUGCAUUUGGGCAUUUAAAUGCUAUAAAAUAUUUUAAAUGCCCAAAUAAUUCUGGAUUUAAGUGAGGGCUGUUAGGAAUAAUCCUAACAGAGCCCACAAUUAUUUUUAGGAUUUAUGGAAAUGUUUUAGUAUUUUUAAUAAAGCCCAACAGCUAUAGAAAAAUAGAAAAAAAACAAAAACAGAAUAAAGAGAGGGAGAGAAAGGCCACAUGCCACUUACCUGGCUGGCCCGGCCCAUCUGGCCCGUGCCAGUCAUCACCUACCUCUGCCAGUAGGCAGAGGAGGGACACCGCGAUGCCGCCGAGCUUGCCACGCCACCUCCCUGCCUGCCUGCCCUCGCCCGCGCCAGCGCGACGCCUCGAAACGCCUCCUCGGUGCUGCCCCGACCUCACCGACACCCCAUUCGCCCCCUGCACCUCCCUCUCGCCUUCUCCCACCAUGGCCGAUGCUGCUGCGCCUGCGCCACCGUGAAACUCGCGCCCACCGUCGUCCCCGUGCCGCUCUGCCGUGUCCACAAGCUCCGCCGUCGUCUUCUUCGUCGAGCUAGGCAAGCCCCAAGCGCUCACACGCUCUACUUCGUCUUCUUCGACCUCGUCUUCACCGAACGCCGCCGGAGAUCCCCUUCGCCGUCACCGCCGCACCAGCUCGUCCCCGACCUCGCCGACUGCUCCGACGUGAUCGCCGUGAGCUCAGCCACUUCCCCAUCCUUCCCGUUCUCGCUCUCGAGCACCGUAGCGACCGCAUGGAGCUUCACCGCACGCGCCGCCGCCGAGCUCGUCGCCGACGAUGCCCCGGCCACCCAACGACCACACCACCAUGCCCACUGCACUCACCGCAUCCCAAGGAGCCCACAACACCACUCCACGCACCUCGCCGUGCCCCCUAGCGAUGAGCCCGAGCUCCGGCAGCCGCACAGCUCGUCGCCGGCGUUGUUUCCGGCGACCCCGAGCCCCACCUCCACCACCACUCGAUGCGGCUCACUCCUAGCUACCCGUAGAUGGUCUCCGCCGCCCAUUUGGUCGUCGGAGGACAAAACCCGCACCGCCCCGCCGCGUUUGGCCUCGCCAGCGGCUAAACGCCGGUGAGUUUGACCCCGCUGACCGUUGACCCCGGGUGGACCCAGUUUGACCCCGUGGGCCUAUGACAGGUGGGACCCGCAUGCUAAUUAACUUAGGAUUAGGACUAACUAAAAAU